rnacentral:rRNA from 1 species
GAUGAACGCUGGCGGCGUGCCUAAUACAUGCAAGUCGAGCGAACAGAUGAGGAGCUUGCUCCUCUGACGUUAGCGGCGGACGGGUGAGUAACACGUGGAUAACCUACCUAUAAGACUGGGAUAACUUCGGGAAACCGGAGCUAAUACCGGAUAAUAUAUUGAACCGCAUGGUUCAAUAGUGGAAGACGGUUUUGCUGUCACUUAUAGAUGGAUCCGCGCCGCAUUAGCUAGUUGGUAAGGUAACGGCUUACCAAGGCAACGAUGCGUAGCCGACCUGAGAGGGUGAUCGGCCACACUGGAACUGAGACACGGUCCAGACUCCUACGGGAGGCAGCAGUAGGGAAUCUUCCGCAAUGGGCGAAAGCCUGACGGAGCAACGCCGCGUGAGUGAUGAAGGUCUUCGGAUCGUAAAACUCUGUUAUUAGGGAAGAACAAAUGUGUAAGUAACUAUGCACGUCUUGACGGGACCUAAUCAGAAAGCCACGGCUAACU